ACGAGCACGCCAGAAAAUCCAGAUGAGUUGGCGAUAGUUCUUGCGGGUGACCAAACUAAUGGCAAUCAAGAAGAUGAUGGUCAUACUCCUACAGAAGGCAAUGUUGACAUCAACAUGGAUGAUAGCAAUGUGAGUGAUCAUGAGCCCAUAUUUAAUUCAUAUGCGGUAGAAUCUACUAGUGUUGAUGAGGAACAAGUUAGUGUGGAUAUUUAUGACCCAAGCAAUUGGGGUAAUCUUGAUAACAAAGCGAGGGACAUAUUAGUGGAAAAGGGGCCUAAAAUGGAAGAAGAAAACAAUAAAUAUCCUUUGGAUGAAAAUUCAAGACAUUUUUCGUAUAGCCAUUAUUACUCCAGAAAGAUGAGCAAUGGAGAGGUGCGUGAUAGGAAAUGGUUAGUUUUUUCAAAACACACAAAGAAAGUGUUUCGUUUUCGCUGUAAGCUUUUCAAUUCUGAUAAAUGCAAGAGUGCAAUGGGGAAUGAUGGGUUUUGUGAUUGGAGGCAUAUUAAUGAAAGACUGAAAGAGCACGAAGCUAGUGAUUUUGCAUCUCAGAAUGUUAGGAGAAAUAUUUGA
rnacentral:rRNA from 1 species